rnacentral:lncRNA from 1 species
GGACAAGGCCCUGCCCUCAUGCUAUUCAGGGCUUAGAGCCAUCAAAACUUGGGGACUAACAUCAGUGGGGCUUCAUAUGAACCCUGAAUUUAUGAGUGUGGGCUAAACUGUUAAGCAAAUAUCUCAAAGCUAUGCAAGCAUGUUUCUUAUGUAAAUCAUAGUUCUGCGCAGCUGCUCAGAAAGGCAAGGUGAUUCCCUUCGCUGUUCUUCUGGAUCAAGGCUCCUGCCUGGUAGAGACGUUGGUGAUGUACAUGUGAGAAGGGCUUGGGGGGGCUCGGCUGGCUGGGAGGGGUGCUGAGGAGGGAAAUGGGGAACAUGGUGAGGGAACCAGGGUUAAGGUCACACAUGAUCUUGAGGGUCACAGUGAGAACUUUGGAUGCACUUCUCAGUACAGUGGGAAGCCAGUGACAUUUUUAGGCAGCACAAGGACAGGAUCUGAGUCUGUUGAUGAGCCCUGGAGCAGCUACACUUUGGUGGUAAAGCAGAAAGAACAGCAAGGAGAGAUGGUGCAGGCCACUCAAAAGGAACGAGCCAGAGGGCCCCAUGGAGGAGGAGCCAGAGAUUUCCAGCUUCAGAAGACUCUACUGCCCCCGGCUGAGAGAAUAUUAAUGCAGAAGGACUGCAGCUGGGUGCGUGCUGAAGUUUCUAAAGCACUUCCGGAGGAAAUUAAAUUCAGG